rnacentral:rRNA from 1 species
AUUGAACGCUGGCGGAAUGCUUUACACAUGCAAGUCGAACGGCAGCACGGACUUCGGUCUGGUGGCGAGUGGCGAACGGGUGAGUAACAUAUCGGAACGUAUCCAAUAAUGGGGGAUAACUAAUCGAAAGGUUGGCUAAUACCGCAUACGCCCUACGGGGGAAAGCAGGGGAUCUUCGGACCUCGCGUUAAUGGAGCGGCGUAUAUCUGAUUAGCUAGUUGGUGAGGUAAAGGCUCACCAAGGCGACGAUCAGUAGCUGGUCUGAGAGGACGACCAGCCACACUGGAACUGAGACACGGUCCAGACUCCUACGGGAGGCAGCAGUGGGGAAUUUUGGACAAUGGGCGCAAGCCUGAUCCAGCCAUUCCGCGUGAGUGAAGAAGGCCUUCGGGUUGUAAAGCUCUUUCGCAAGGGAAGAAAACUUACUUUCUAAUAAAGAGUGAGGUUGACGGUACCUUGAUAAGAAGCACCGGCUAACUACGUGCCAGCCGCCGCGGUAA